rnacentral:lncRNA from 1 species
CCCAUUAAAGGGUUACAUCAACUUAAAACAAUACCAGGUAAUCUAACCUUAAACUAUUACAUAACUCUGUGGAAUACAUCACAAAAUAAAUUAUGUCUCAUAACAUAAGUUCAGUAAAUAAAACUAAACAGGUCUUCAUCAUUUGGACAUCUUGCCCUUGCCUUUGCUAGAAGACGGCUCAUCGACUUUCUCAACCUUGGCUGCAGUGUUAAUUACAAGAGUGAGCAAACAAUUGCUCACCAAUAUAAAGAAUUAAAAUAGCAACAUCAUGAGGUUAAACAAUGAAUACUGAAUAAUAGAGAACUCGUUCUACGAAUCAAGAAUAGAAAACAAGUUCAAGAUUUAUAUUUGAGGGUUUUAAGACCAUGAACUAUGUCCCCGGUAAUUAGGUAUUUUAACCUUAACCUUAACAGUCAUUUAGACUGUAUGGACCCUACCUUACGUACUUAGGGGGAUCAGCCCUUCGUACCAUGUAUUGUACACAAACAUCUAAACGCUAACGCGUACAGAAUCCCCUAUAUUAGGGUUGUUCAUCUCGGUUUGACUUUAGAAUUUCCGCACUAAAGAAGGUUUAGUUUGGAACUAACUUAAGAGUGAUUCUAGAAUUUUAGAACACUUAUCAAAUAUAGAUUAGUCCAAUCAAUAAAAAUUUGUUUGCUAUUCGAAGGUUCAACAUAAUAAUAUAAGAUUGAACAACGAUACUUAAGUCAAAGAUAAAUAUUAGCAAUACAUAGCUGAAUAGACAUGAUAUGUACAAACUAUUACCUCCAAAAGAGUUAAAAAACUCAUUUGGAACAAUGAACUUAAACAAAUUAUACUUUGAAUAGCAAGAACAAAAGUUAGGAAUACGAAACUCGCUCAAUGUAAAGAAUUAGAAUACAAGAGCAUGCAUAAUCGUAAACAAGAUGGAAUCCACAACUUGCUCAACAUAAAUAUAAGGUUUAGGAACUUGCAUAAUGAAAUAUUUGAGUUAGAGAACUUGCUAGACAACAAGAGGUAAAUAUAGUUAUGAAACUUGCAUUCAUAUAAAGAGAAUGAAGUUAGGAAACUUGCCUCGUGCGUAAGCUACACAAGUUUAAUAAACGUUCGCCAAAUACCCUACAUAUACCAUUAGGAUCGCAAUAACGAUUAGUUAUACUAUCAUUAGCUUUAUAGGUUCAAUUCAUCAUUUUAUUUAAGUCAUAACCCUUAACUUAAGGUCUAACCAUAUUGGUUAAUCAUACAACACGAAUCUGAAAACUCACUAUUAUAUAACGUAAAGCUUUAGCAUUCAAUUCUCCUCUCUACCUUUAACAAACAUCAAAUUUCAAUCAUUAUAUAACUUGUUAAGUAAUUACUUUCAAAUCUUCAUUUUUGGUAUUACAAUAAAUUACAAUCUGUUGUUAUAUCUUAUGAUAUGUUUUAACAUCUUAUCAUGCAUACUCAACUAGGUUAGGUCAACAUAUAAUAGUCUGCAAUUAAUCAAAACAUACUGUCUCUGCUCAGGAUACGACGCAGCUGCGCUGUCCCAAGCCUUGGCACCAGCGCAGCUGCGCUGGUGCUUGACCUCAGAAACCCAACAGGCGCAGCUGCGCCGUUUCUACCUUUGGUACCGGCGCAGCUGCGCCAGUACGCAGGUAGAAACUGCAGCACCUUCCCCUGUUACAAUCCAAACUCCAAUUUUUCUCAAUUUCUACAACAAUUCACCAACCCAAAAACUAGAAUUUUGUUAACAACACCACCAAGCAUGCACUUUAUAAUUCUACCAAUAUAAACAUUUCAUAAAAUAAACUUUUAAGGAUCAAAAAUCAUGUUUUUACUAAUUUCUUCAUAUUUCAACACAUUUAGCGAAUUCAAUCGCCAAAUCUUUGUUUCUUAACCAAAUUACACCAUUUCAAUUGCGUUGUUUUCGUUUCUGAAUGUAUUAACACAAUCUACAAUCAAUUUACAAAUUGUAACAAGGAUUGAACAUAACUUUUGGACUCAAUUAAGCCAUGUUUCACACAUGUAUACACUGUUACUUUAAUUUUCUUCUUACAACCCAAUUUUCUUGAAUUUGAUCACUAACAUUUGAUUAUAGAUGACAACUAACAAGUUUAACAAGAUUAUACAUACAUAUAAUCAAUAAUCCCACACAACUUCCAAUUCACAGAGAAUAGAAAUUACAAAACUACAAGUUAAAAAUUAGGAAUAGAUUAUACCUUUAUCCUUUGUUAACAAGAUGAUAACAAGGUUUUAGCAAUCCUUCCUCUUCCUCUUCACAGCAAAACUCUCAAUUUCUUCUCUAGCUCUUUCAAUUUCUCUGCGUUUCUCUCUCUCUACCUCUCUGUUCUUCUUUUUAGCUUUUUGGAAUAAUACGCGUAGAUAUAAACUGAUAUAGGCCUCUCCCCACGUACAUCAGGUAAGAAACCAAUAGGCUACGUCAGUUGAAAUAUGCCAAAGGCCACAAGGCCAUGUUUGGCUACACCUUAAAUUAGAUUUCUAAUUUAUUUUUGUAUUACUUAUAUUAUAUAGUUCCAUUUGUCACACAUUUAUUUAAUUAAUUUUAAUAACUUACAAUUACAAUUACAAUUUCCAUUAUAAUUAUAUUUAUACUUAACAAAUGACUACAUAUCUAAUUUAAUUAUUAAAUUAAACUAGAACAUCAUUUUAUUUAAUUUAAUUAUUUUCUUAAAUAUUAAACAAUUCAUUUAAUUUUCCAUUCAUUAAUUUAGUUAACAUACACACUUAACUAAAUUAUUACACCACAAUUUCAUUAAUUAUUUAUUUAUCUCAAUAAAUAAAUUAAUUAAAAUAUGUAUUUAAUUCAAUAAAUAUUUAAAAUUAAUUACAAAAUUCUCGUUCGAUCCUUUCCUCCUUAAAGGAUUCUAUCCCCAGAAUCACGACUCGAUAAAUUCAUUCGUUACACUCUUCCCUUCUUAACAGGAUUCUGUCCCCAUAAUCGCUAUACAAGAUUAAGCAAAUAAAUGAGGAUAAUUUCUCAUCAUAACAUCUUCAAGUUCCCACGUAGCUUCGUCAGCUUUGUGGUUUCUCCAUAUUACCUUAACAGAAGGUAUCACUUUAUUCCUUAGUACUUGCUCUUUCCUGUCAAUAAUUUGAACAUGGACUUCUUCAUAUGACAAGUCUUUUUCAAACUGUAAUGGUUCAUAUUCUAUAACAUGUUUAUAAUCGGACUUAUAUGGCCUUAAUACCAAAACAUGAAAAAUGUUAUGAAUAUAUGUUCUAAUUCCGGAGGUGGAGCUACCUCAUACGCCACUUCACCAACUUGUCGCAGCACUUCAAAAAGGUCCUAUAAACCUAGGGUUUAGUUUUCCCUUUUUACCAAACCGAAUUUUUUCUUUCCAGGGAGACUUUGAAGAAAACAAAACUACCGACAUCAAAUUCCCGAUUUUGUCGGUGUUGAUCGGCAUAUUUCUUCUGCCUAUUCUGUGCAGCUAUCAAUCUUGCUCGAAUCAACUUGAUGAUCUCAACAGUUUGUUGCACUAAUUCUGGACCUAGCAGCUGACGUUCUCCAACUUCGUCCCAGCAUAACGGAGUUCUGCAUUUCCUACCGUACAACGCUUCGUAAGGCGGCAUGCUAAUACUUGCGUGAUAACUAUUAUUAUAGGCAAACUCAACCAACGGUAAAUUGUAUCCCAAUUCCCUUUAAAAUUCAUAAUACAUGUUCUUAGCAUAUCCUCCUGUGUCUGGAUGGUCCUCUCACAUUGUCCGUCGGUUUGAGGAUGAUAAGUUGUGCUCAUUCUCAACUGCGUUCCCAAGCAUUCUUGUAGUCGUUUUAAAAAAUUUGAUGUAAAACGUGGAUCUCUAUCUGAUACAAUGGACACCGGGACACCGUGUCUUGAAACAAUUUCCUUCACGUACAGUUUUGCCAACCGAUCAAGAUUAAAUCUAAUCUUUAUUGGCAAAAAGUGUGCUGACUUCGUCAAUCGAUCGACGAUCGCAUCGUAACCUUACUGAGUCGUUGGAAGACCUACCACAAAAUCCAUUGUGAUAUGCUCCCAUUUCCAUUCCGGUAUCUCUAACGGUUGCAACAAUCCGCUUGGCCUUUGAUGUUCAGCUUUAACUUUCUGACACGUUAAACAUUUCGCCACACAUUCAGCAACAUCCUUUUUCAUAUUCGACCACCAGAAAUGAUGUCUGAGAUCUUGGUACAUUUUCGUGCUUCUGGGGUGAAUCGAAUAUCUUGAGUUAUGAGCCUCGCUUAAAAUUUUUUCUUUAAUUUCUGGUACUGGCGGAACCCAAAUUCUCCCUUCCAAUCGAAGUAACACUUCCGAAUCAACUUUUAACUUAUUUUCUUCACCUAUAGACACUUUCCGUCUUAUCUUUUCACAAUUUUCAUCCUGAAGUUGUGCAUUCUUUACCUUAUCCACCAAAAUUGAACUACUCUUUAUCUGGAACAAUUUUUCAUCUGAUUCUGUUGGAUAUUUAAUUUCCAACUCUAUAUUUGCCAUUUCUGCUGUUAGCUUCUUUUGAGCAAUCAAUAUCAUUAACUUCUCUCGACCUUUUCUACUUAAGGCAUCGGCAACAACAUUCGCCUUUCCGGGAUGAUAGAGAAUCUCGCAAUCAUAGUCUUUAAUAUACUCCAGCCAUCUCCUCUGUCGCAUAUUCAAAUCUUUCUGUGUAAAGAUAUACUUCAGACUUUUAUGGUCUGUAUAUAUCUUACACCUUUCUCUAUAAAGAUAAUGUCUCCAAAUUUUCAGGGCAAACACUACUGCAGCCAACUCUAAGUCAUGAGUCGGAUACCCUUUCUCGUAAUCCUUUAAUUGUCGUGAUGCAUACGCAAUGACCCUGCCGUUCUGCAUAAGCACACAGCCUAAUCCUUUAUGCGAUGCGUCACUAUACACCACAAAAUUCCCUGUAUCAUCAGGCAAUGAUAACAUAGGUGCUGAACUCAAAUCUUUUCUUUAAUUUUCGAAAACUUUCCUCACACUUCUCUGUCCAAACAAACUUAACCGCCUUCCUAGUUAAAUUUGUCAAAGGAGUUGCGAUCUUGGAAAAGUCUUGAAUAAAACGCCUAUAGUAACCUGCCAAUCCCAAGAAACUUCUUACUUUUGACGGUGUCUUCGGCUGAUCUCAGUUUAUUACAACUUCAACUUUCGAUGGAUCUACCGAGAUUCCGUCCUUGUCAAUAAUGUGCCCAAGAAACUGUACACGUUCUAACCAAACUCACAUUUCAAGAAUUUAGCGUACAACUUUUCUCUCCUCAAUGUCUCCAACGUCACCCUUAAGUGUUCAACAUGUUCUUCCUUGGUCUUGGAAUACACCAAUAUAUCAUCAAUAAACACCACCACAAAUUUAUCUAAGAAUGGUUUAAACACCAUGUUCAUCAAAUCCAUGAACGCUGCAGGUGCAUUGGUUAAACCAAAUGACAUAACCAGAAACUCAUAAUGACCAUACCGAGUUCUGAAUACCGUUUUCGGUACAUCCUCUGGCCUCACCUUCAACUGAUGAUAACCACUCCUCAAAUCUAUCUUUGAGAAAUAUCUCGCUCCCUUCAGUUGAUCUAACAAGUCAUCGAUUCUCGGUAACGGAUAUUUAUUUUUAAUCGUGACCUUAUUCAAUUCCUGGUAAUCAAUGCAGAGCCGCAUCGAUCCAUCUUUCUUCUUUACAAACAACAUCAGCGCUCCCCACGACGAUACGCUCGGCUGGAUAUAUUUCUUAUCUAAUAAUUCUUGCAACUGUACCAUUAACUCCUUCAUUUCUACUGGGGCCAUUCUGUAUGGGUCUUUAGAUAUCGGGGCCGUUCCUGACACUAAAUCAAUCACGAACUCAACCUCUCUAUCCGACGGUAGUCCAGACAAAUCGUCAGAAAAUACGUCUGCAAAAUCUCUAAUAAUCGGUAUCUUUUCUAACUUCGCACUCUUCUUUUGUCUAUCGACUAUGUAGGCCAAGUAUCCUACACAUCCUUGUCUCAGUAACUUCUUGGUUUGCAUCACCGUCAGACAACUUGCUUGUCGAGGCGACUUGCUGCCAUAAAACACCACCUUUGACGGAGUCAUAAGGUUAACACAUUUCUUUUGGCAAUCAAUUAUUGACCCGUAAUUGAAUAACCAAUCCAUUCCCAAUGUAACAUCAAACUCCCCAAGUUUAAUUGGUAUCAAAUUAACCAUCAUCUCGUGACCUUUUAUAACCACUCUACAAUUCUUAUAUAUAAAUCUAACAGGAAUCACUUCCCUAUUCGCAAUCUCUAUGCUUAAAGGGAAAUCUAAUUCUUCCCGAGGCAAAUCUAAGUUCUGAGCAAAUUAAUCAGAUAUAAAUGAACAAGUUGCACCCGAGUUAAAUAGCACAUAAGCAUUAAUACCAUUAAUCGGAACGAUACCUGACACCACAUCCUUUGACUGCACAACAUCUUGCACGGUCAUAUUGAAAGUCCUAGCAGUAGGUCGGCUUGAUUGCACUGGUCCAGUGAUAGUUAAAGUACCACCACUGUUAUUUUCUUUUCCUCCACUUCCGCUUCCCGCUGUCUUUUUAGGGCAAUCACGAGCCAUGUGAUUCUUCGACCCGCGGGUAAAACAUGCUCCCUUCUUUGGACUAAAACAAUUUGGUGCAAUGUGACCCUCCUGGCCACAAUUAAAACACACUCGUUUUCCUUUCAAACACACACCAGUGUGGUUCUUCCCGCAAGUAGCACAAGCUUCAAACUUCUUUUGCUGACAUCCUUGCUGUCCUCCCAUAUUCAAAUUCUCACUCCACUUCCUCUUCUGGUUGUUACCUCCACUAUUGCUUCCACCAACCUUGUUUUCAUUCUCGUUCUUCCUCUUCUUUUGUUCUUGAUUAUAUUUGGUUAAGGCAUCGCUUCCACCUUCCGCGAUAAUUGCCUUUUUCAAUACUACUGCAAACGUGUUUAACUGGAACAUUGAAACCUUGCUAUACAGCCAGGGCUUCAACCCUUGUUCAAACCUUCUUGCCUUACGCUCUUCAGUAUUAACUUGAUAUGUAGCAAACCUUGUCAACUCAUUAAACUUUGCAGCAUACUCUGGUACAGACAUGGUUCCUUGCUUCAAUUCCAAGAAUUGAACUUCCAUCUGGUUCUGAGAACUCGUCGGAAAGUACAUUUCGAAAAACAUAUCUUUAAACCUAUCCCACGCUACUAUUAUCUGUCCCCCAUGAAACUUAUUCGCUUGCCACCAAUAGCUAGCUUCAGACUUCAACAUAAAUCUUGCGAAAGUAGUCUUCUGAUCCUCGUUGACUCUGGCAACGUCGAACACCUUCUCCAUUUCAAUGAUUCAGGUUUGGGCUUUCACUGGAUUCAUAGACCCUUGAAACUCCGACGGUCCAACCGUUUUGACAUCUUUGAAAGUCGUGACUUGAGCUUGCGGUUGAUUUGCAAGUGCUCCUGUUAACAAAGUCACCAACUGCUGAACCGGGUUAGAGUUGGCCUCGUUAUUGUUAUUGUUAGUAGACCCCUCUGGAGGUGGUUGUUGGCGUGGUUGUCUUCUUCUAGGAGGCAUUUUCUGUUUAAAAUACAUGCUUAUUAGCUCAUUACUCAAUUUCUUGAAUAUUUUAAAGUUUAACUUUAAACACUCUAAUAUUAAAGCUUAACACACAACAUUUCAAUAAAUUUCGACAUUUAUUUAUUCAUAGUUUUCAAAACAUACCAAGGAUAGCAUCUCUGCUAUCAACAUCAACUUUCCUGAACUUGACAAGUUUCAGGAUUACAUACUCAUCUUACCCCUUUAUUUAUCUCAAAAUAAGGGAUUUACAGUUUAUUUAAUCAUAUAUUUAGUCACACAUCUUAUUACUCUUCCUAUCUUGGCAUGUUAAGACGUUGAGAGGCUUCUUUACGCUCUUCUUCCAUAAUACGAUAUGCCGUCCUACGAUCCAUCAUGAACCAUGGCAAGUCUUCAAAUUGAAGUGGGUAAUAAAAGACUCGAUCUUGGGCCCUAUCAAUCGCAGAAUGAAAGGCAAUCCAUUUCAUUCAUUUUAGCCUUCUUCGUCUGAACCUUGGCUUCAACACGAUCUGCACACUGAGUAGCCUUCAUCCAAGCGUUCUCUGCUCUCGCACGCUUAGCUGACUCCUACUUCAAAUCAUCUUUCAACUUUUCCACUUCAGUCUUCAUCUUCUCAUUCUCAGCCAACAACUCCUCUUGAUGUCCCUCCGUGUAAACUAGGUUCCACUUCGUGUUCCCAAGUCCUGAGUCGAGUUUCGGCAUCCUUCUGCUCUAUAGUAGCCUGACGCAUUUCAGCUAACUCUUUCAGCUCCUCAAUCUUAUCAUGUAAUUCUAUGUUUCGGUCAUACAACUCAUCAUACAUCUCAGUUGAUAUAGAGUUUGGUGGAAACUCCACAGGAUCCUUUUACUCAUCCUCCACCUCUAUCCCCUUAGAGUUCUCCUCCUCAGAAUUAGACACAGGCUCAUCCUCUUGUUCUUCCUCAGCGACUAACAGAGAAGGCUCUCUCUGAAUCAACUGCUCCCGAACCACAUGAACAUCUCGGGGUUCCUCAUCUCUAGGUACCUGAGGUAUCUCUUCCCUAGCUUGACUGGAUCUUUCAACGUUAGACAUCUUGACAACAAAAUACUUUUAAGUUUUAUUUAUUAGGUGACACUCUUCGAUACUUGCGAGUAUAUAAGUUAUUCACACAUAGCACAUAAAGUCUUUUAUUGUUUUGUUUUAUCUUUAAUGAAUUUCCUUAGAACUCGAUAAGAGUUUAUCGCCACUAUGUUUUCUGUCUCCUUAAUGGUUACUUCCUAAGGUUUUUCCCCACCUAAGAUUCAUAACCUAAAGCUCUGAUACCAACCUGUGACACCCCCAAAUCCGGGUACUUCAUUCCCACAGGAUUUGGUGCUCACUUUCCAUAAACAAUUACAUCUAACUACCCAUAACAAAGGAUAAAGACAUAACUUAAAUAACUUAAACAAUAAUCUUCCCCAUUAAAGGGUUACAUCAACUUAAAACAAUCCCAGGUAAUCUAACCUUAAACUAUUACAUAACUAUGCGGAAUACAUCAAAAAAUAAAUUAUAUCUCAUAACAUAAGUUCAGUAAAUAAAACUAAACAGGUCUUCAUCAUUUGGACAUCUUGCCCUUGUCUUUGCUAGAAGACGGCUCAUCGACUUUCUCAACCUUAGCUGCAGUGUUAAUUGCAAGAGUGAGCAAACAAUUGCUCACUAAUAUAAAGAAUUAAAAUAGCAACAUCAUGAGGUUAAACAAUGAAUACUGAAUAAUAGAGAACUCGUUCUACGAAUCAAGAAUAGAAAACAAGUUCAAGAUUUAUAUCUGAGGGUCUUAAGACCAUGAACUAUAUCCCCGGUAAUUAGGUAUUUUAACCUUAUCCUUAACAGUCAUUUAGACUAUAUAGACCCUACCUUACGUACUUAGGGGAUCAACCCUUCGUACCAUGUAUUGUUCACAUACAUCUAAACGCUAAUGCGUACAGAAUCCCCUAUAUUAGGGUUGUUCAUCUCAGUUUGACUUUAGAAUUUCCGCACUAAAGAAGGUUUAGUUUGGAACUAACGAUUUUAGAAUUUUAGAACACUUAUCAAAUAUAGAUUAGUCCAAUUAAUAAAAGUUUGUUUGCUAUUCGAAGGUUCAACACAAUAAUAUAAGAUUGAACAACGAUACUUAUGUUAAAGAUUGAAUAUUAGCAAUACAUAGCUGAAUAGACAUGAUAUUUACAAAGUAUUACAUCCAAAAGAGUUAGAAAACUCAUUUGGAACAAUGAACUUAAACAAAUUAUACUUUGAAUAGCAAGAACAAAAGUUAGAAAUACGAAACUCGCUCAAUGUAAAGAAUUAGAAUACAAGAGCGUGCAUAAUCGUAAACAAGAUGGAAUCCACAACUUGCUCAACAUAAAUAUAAGGUUUAGGAACUUGCAUAAUGAAAUAUUUGAGUUAGAGAACUUGCUAGACAACAAGAGGUAAAUAUAGUUAUGAAACUUGCAUUCAUAUAAAGAGAAUGAAGUUAGGAAACUUGCCUUGUGCGUAAGCUACACAAAUUUAAUAAACGUUCGCCAAAUACCCUACAUAUACCAUUAGGAUCGCAAUAUCGAUUAGUUAUACUAUCAUUAGCUUUAUAAGUUCAAUUCACCAUUUUAUUUAAGUCAUAACCCUUAACUUAAGGUCUAACCGUAUUGGUUAAUCAUACAACACGAAUGUGAAAACUCACUAUUAUAUAACGUAAAGCUUUAGCAUUCAAUUCUCCUCUCUACCUUUUACAAACAUCAAAUUUCAAUCAUUAUAAAACUUGUUAAGUAAUUACUUACAAAUCUUCAUUUUUGGUAUUGCAAUCUGUUAUUAUAUCUUAUGAUAUGUUUUAACAUCUUAUCGUGCAUACUCAACUAGGUUAGGUCAACAUAUACUAGUCUGCAAUUAAUCAAAACAUACUGUCUCUGCUCAGAGUACGGCGUAGCUGCGCUGCCCCAAGCCUUGGCACCGGCGCAACUGCGUUGGUGCUCGACCUCAGAAACCCAACAGGCGCAACUGUGCCGUUUCUGCCUUUUGUACCGGCGUAACUGCGCCAGUACGCAGACAAAAACUGCAGCAGCUUCCCCUGUUACAAUCCAAACUCCGAUUUUUCUCAAUUUCUACAGUAAUUCACUAACCCAAAAAUUAGAAUUUUGUUAACAACACCACCAAGCAUGCACUUCAUAAUUCUACCAAUAUAAACAUUUCAUAAAAUAAACUUUUAAGGAUCAAAAGUCAUGUUUUUACUAAUUUCUUCAUAUUUCAACACAUUUAGGGAAUUCAAUCGCCAAAUCUUUGUUUCUUAACCAAAUUACACCAUUUCAAUUGCGUUGUUUUCAUUUCUAAAUGUAUUAACACAAUCUACAAUCAAUUUACAAAUUGUAACAAGGAUUGAACAUAACUUUUGGACUCAAUUAAGCCAUCUUUCACACAUGUAUACACUGUUACUUUAAUUUUCUUCUUACAACCCAAUUUUCUUGAAUUUGAUCACUAACAUUUGAUUAUAGAUGACAACUAACAAGUUUAACAAGAUUAUACAUACAUAUAAUCAAUAAUCCCACACAACUUCCAAUUCACAGAGAAUAGAAAUUACAAAACUACUAGUUAAAAAUUAGGAAUAGAUUAUACCUUAACCUUUGUUAACAAGAUGAUAACAUGGUUUUAGCAAUCCUUCCUCUUCCUCUUCACAGCAAAACUCUCAAUUUCUUCUCUAGCUUUCUCAAUUUCUCUGUGUUUCUCUCUCUCUACCUCUCUGUUCUUCUUUUUAGCUUUUAGGAAUAGUACGCGUAGAUAUAAACUGAUAUAGGCCUCUCCCCAUGCACAUCAGGUAAGAAACCAAUAGGCUACGUCAGUUGUAAUAUGCCAAAGGCCACAAGGCCAUGUUUGGCUACACCUUAAAUUAGAUUUCUAAUUUAUUUUUAUAUUACUUAUAUUAUAUAGUUCCAUUUGUCACACAUUUAUUUAAUUAAUUUUAAUAACUUACUAUUACAAUUAUAAUUUUCAUUAUAAUUAUAUUUAUACUUAACAAAUUACUACAUAUCUAAUUUAAUUAUUAAAUUAAACUAGAACAUCAUUUUAUUUAAUUUAAUUAUUUUCUUAAAUAUUAAACAAUUCAUUUAAUUUAAUUAUUUCAUUAAAUUACAUCUUCAAAUAAUAAGAUUACCAUUCAUUAAUUUAGUUAACAUACACACUUAACUAAAUUAUUACACCACAAUUUCAUCAAUUAUUUAUUUAUCUCAAUAAAUAAAUUAAUUAAAAUAUUUAUUUAAUUCAAUAAAUAUUUAAAAUUAAUUACAAAAUUCUCGUUCGUUACAACUUCCGUCAAUGCUAGAAACGUCCGUCAAUGCAUUCCCAUACCCACUAAUAAUUUAACACUAAAUGCCUACUUGACCCUAGACCUCUAUAUAGGGAGCCUAAACUUGUGUAACCACUUGACAUUUGAAUGGUAUUCUUAAAAUUUCUGUAUAACUCCAACGGAUUAGAGAGAAUCAAUUAUAUAGGUAUUGAAGCGUUCAUGUUGCCUAGGUUGAGUAUGCUCCGUCUUAUGGAAUGAAUUUGGAAGACACCAUCACAGUCCACACGAUAAACCCCUAAAUUUUUUUCCUAUAAGUACCUCUUUGUUUGGCAUUUUAGACUUUUUAGUACAUGGUAGCGAACCUAGUUAGAUACCGGUAUACACCUUGUUUUCAACAAUUCGUCAAUCUUGGGAAAAAGGUGCCAAACUAGGAAGCAUGGACACUUCUAGACAGACGACUUUUGUGUAUAAGAUACUGAUUGGAAAUGACAAUUGUUCUCCAGUGUGUCGUCAUUUCAAAUAUGUGGUUGAUACUUCUUGGAUUCUCACGGAACAAGUCUAUACAUUGGAUAAAUGAGUAUGCCUCUUUUAUCACUUAGAAUAAAAUUAUUUCAGGAAACCAAAUAAACAGAUUUUUAGAGCAUAAUAUGUAGGAUGAUUAAUCAAAGAAGUAUCCUAGGAAAGGGAAGUGUUAAUUUUGUGUAUUAUACAAACAUAUAUGUGUGUGUGUGUGUGUAAAUUCAAUGGGUAUGUAUGACUUUCGGUGGAUAAAUGUGAUGCUAGAGUGAUACAUCAUACAUAUUUAAGUAUUACUAUACAUUCGACCCUUUCUCCCUUACUUCUUCCCAACCGUAUUUUCUCAUUCCUAGUGGUACUAUGUAUUUGGUAUCAUCAAUAUUCAUCCUGAAUAUAUGAUCUUUGUUAUGCUAAAUGUAAUUGGUGUUGUAGGUUCUCUUCCAAAAUGAUUCACCUGCUACGUUGCUGGCUCGGGUGUUUGGGAUUAUAGGACCAGUUAACCAAGAUAUGCUUGCUAAAGGGAGAGAUACAUACAAGUACUUCACCAAGAAUCACAUGUUGUAUGAACGCAACCAGGUAAAGAUCCCUCCAUUUCAUAAAUAGUCCCUCCAUUCUAUAAAAGACGUCUUAAGUACAUCUUUCACACAAAUUAAAAAAAUCCAAGUUGAAGAGAGUAGUAAUAAGGGACUGUUUGUUUAUUUAUGAAUGGGUCUAAAUAAGUUUGAAUCUGACCGAAUAAGUAAUUCAGACCGUUUGUUUAACAAUUUUUAAAUUCUUAAUCCGUCUGAAUGUGUCUGAACGAUUCAUCCAAGAAUUUGUGGCUGAAUGAGUAAGAAGUAGUGCUGAAUGAUAUUUUUAGUUGCAUACUAUCAUAGACAAUUAAAAUUUACAUUCAGUAUCCAUCAUGUUUACUAUUGUAAACCAAUUUUGUUAUGUACAAAUUGUUUUUUAUUUUUGUUUAACAAAUUGGAUAACCAAUUUAAUGAAUGUUGUUGUAGUCUUUUGUUUUGAUUUUAUGUAAUAUAAAAUGUUAUUAAUAUUUUUUAGUGUUUUAUUCCUAAAAUUAUAUUUUUAAUAGUAUACUUUAUUAAAGAUUGUUCAAAAGUUUAUAUUUAAAUUUUCUUAGAUAAUUAUUUAUAAUUAUAUAAUAAAUUUGUACAUAACAGUCCAGAAGAUUAAAAUAGGAUAAUACACGUAUUCAAAUGUUUUAGAUAGACAAUUAUCAAACAUAUAAUUUCAUUCCGUAUUCAAAGAUCUACUCUAUUCAGCUCAUUCAAAUUUUCUUAUACAUUUAAAACGUUUCAUUCAGUUUUAUCAAACAACAUAACCCCUUAGUUCCAAAUUUAUCCACAAUGGACCCCACGUAAGUACAUAUAAUGAUUCUUUCUUUUACCUAAAAGGAGUAGACCCUACUUAAGUACUUUGAGGGUAAAAUAUUAUUUAGAUAACAUUUUGAAUAUGAAUUGUGUAUUUUAGUCGGCUUUUGGGUGACAAGUUUUUUGUACUUUUGACAUCCUUUAUGGGAUGGAGGGAGUAGUUUACUUCUUUUUCAAAAUCAAAAUUUUAUGCUUUUAACAUGUUGGUAUCUUCUAGUGUCUCUAAUGUUACUUGAGCUUUUAUAAUAUAGUUUAUGAAAAUGACAGUUGGGUAUGGAAGUCCAUAAGGGAACCCAAAAGAUGAUAUGCUUGAUUGCGUAGUGUAAGCAUGUUAGUCAACUCCAAUUACCUUUCUAAUUGUGAUAAGGUUUUACAAUAUAUGUAGCAUUUUUAACACCAUAACAGGGAAUCAGCGACAUAAUUCAAUUUGAAACUUUGAAUCCUUAUUCCUUUGUUAUAUUAGUUGUACUCGUAAUAAAAUAAUGGAACUUGUUUAAAAGACAAAAGAUUAAUACAAUGAAAUGCCAUGGUUGUCCUUUUUCAAAAGAAAAGCCAUAUCAUUUAUUAUAGAAAUGUUGGGCAAGAUCUUGACUCAGCUACUCUUGCUAACACCUGAUGUUAAAUGGACCUAUGCUUUUAAUUUUUUUUGCUCUUUCUACUUGAGAAUUCAAGUGCAUUUUUCCUUCUUAGCUACCUAUGAGUACAGUUUUAAUUUUCUGCUAUAUUCAAGAUAUAACUUCUCAUAUUUUCUAGGCAAUCUUAUGGUUUGGGGUAAACAUUCCAUUUCAUCUAUUUGAGGAUGAAGUAAACUAGUCAACUUAUUGUUAAAUUGUCUUAUUUUUUUAAAGUGAAGUUGCCUGUUAGAUCAGCUAUCAAUUUCUCAUGGUAAUUAUAACACCUGGGGAUCAUAUUAUGCCCUCAUAUAUGGGCUGGGGGUCACUCAAAGGCAUCAACCAGUUUAUUUUUUGUCAUUCUUUAAAUCUGAUUGAAAGCAGUAUUUUCUAUGGAUAGAUAUUAGAAGAAACGGUAGAAACCACGUGCCAUACUUUUGCUUUGGAAAGACAUUAUGUGCACUAAAAUAAUCUAGCAUUGAUAUAUUUUCUUCACUUGGUUCCUCCUAAAAGUUCGUUCUGAUUGGAAAAAUGUAAUAUACUUAAAUAUGCUGUUAAACUCGGGAGUUUCUUAAAAUGCUGUUUGUGUCAUGUAUUUAUGUAACAUUCACAGCGCAAACAUAUCGACAAACUAUGUAUCAGUUAAAGCGAAAUAAUGAUUCUAAAUACUAUAGUUACUGCUUAUGUUUUGAUUCCUCUAUUGAAGUGGUGCAUGCCUUUUCUUUUCUUCAGGAUUCCAACAGAUUGGAAUACUUGAUUCCCAAAAAGUCGUCACUAAGGCACCGUUUGCCAAUGGGGGACCAAGGUUUCAUUGAUUUUGUUAAUCAUCUACUUGAAGUUAACCCAAAGAAACGUCCUUCAGCAUCAGAAGCUUUAAAACAUCCAUGGCUGUCGUACCCGUACGAACCAAUAUCGUCUUGAACUUCUUGGGUAAUUUUCUUGGUGGAUGUAACCUGCUGAAGUUGCCCUUGUGCUCGAAUGUAGGUGCUUUGAAGUACAAUGGAAAAAAUCCCACUUGCCGCCCAACUAAAAAAAAUGGCUUUUAAUGUGAUUUGAUCUUGCUUGGGCUUUUACCACUUUCAUGCCAUCACAAUCGAUUGACAGACAUGUUUGGCCUUAUUGGUGAUGUCUGUCUAUGCUUCCCCCCUUUACAUAGUUUUGUUUUAUUUAUGGUACCCAAGAAUGAAUCAAGCAAAUCAGAUGUAUUUUUAGGGUAGUCUAUUUUUGCUUUGUUGGGGUGGAAGGGGAUAUCUUCAAGUUGGUUGGCUUGUGAUAUUGCUCCACUAUUUAGUCUGGGGAGCAAGCCCAUUGAGAAAAGAAUUCAGUGGUGGUGUUUGGUUUUGAUGUACUAAUUAUUCCUCUUAUCCAAGUCCUCGGGCUUUCUUUAUAUAUUCAGGAGCAUGUGUUAGCUCUCUCUCUCUCUCUCUCUCUCUCUCUCUCUCUCUCUCUCUCUCUCACACACACACACACACACACACACACACCUCUUCCAGCCCAAUUCAAUUCUUGAGAAGAUGGACAAAAAAUAAAAAUAAAAAUAAAAAUUCUUACAUCACAAUAAUCAAAUCUGGUUUUUUAUAUUUUUCGAAUAAAAAAUUAAUUCGCGUUUGACGGAUUGAAAUUUUGAUUUGAGUUUGGAUUGAAAUUUUGAUUUGAGUGAAGAAAUGGGGAGUGGUUAGUGUAAAAAUAAUUUUGGUCAAUUGACUAAUACAGUGUUGAUACGCAAACAGGAGGUGAUCGUCAAUACUGUAUUGGUCAAUUAAUCAAUUUAGCAUGAAGUUAAACUAACCGGAUCAGAAGAAAUGUCACCCAACACCCAAGCAAGCUGGAAAAGAUCAAAAUACAGGCAAAUGGUAAAGGGUACUCGUAUAAUAUUAAUUAAUAAUAAAAUGGAGAGAAUUGUUAAUUUUAAUUGGCCGGCCUUUGUGAAUUGUAAAAGCUUGUUGUUAAAAGGACAUCACCCGCCUUUUAUUAACAUCCUCCGUAUGUUAUCACCAGUGUUUUAAAAUUCGGAACCGGACCCAGGUUGGAUGGAUAAAAAUUAAAGCCGGUCAGUUUUUCGAUUCGGUUUGGACUAAUGACUCGAUUUUGGUCAAAAUUCGGGUUAAACUGUUGACCACCGGUUCAACCGAUAAACUCGGUUAAUUGACCCAAUUGACUUGGUUUUUAAUUAUUUUUUUAUCAAAAAUAUUUUAAUAUUAAAAUUAACCACUUUUAUUAAUAUUGUAAGUCAUCUUUUUUAUUAUGUUUUAGUUCAUAAAAAAUGAGAUUUUUAAAUUUUUUUAUUAAUUAUUAGUAAUAUAUAUUUUUAUAUAUUAAUGACGUCACUCAUUAAUAGCAGUUCGACUACUAGUUAGAUCGAUGACUCAUCUACCAGGUAUUUUUUUUAAUUCGAUUAACGGUCCAAUUCUGAGAACCUUGGUUAUCACCCCUUCAGAUAUACAUAUAGACAAAUUCUUCUGACAUUGCCUAGAAACACAUAAAUAUUUUAGGAAAAAAUUAUAAUCCCAACCACGUGGUGCUCAAUGAUGAUAAUUCCAGGAUAAAAGAUAAUAUCUCCCGCUUUUUAUUUCGGGCUAUGUUUGUUUAAAAAAAAUUAUAAUUUUUGGAUUGUAAUUAAUGAGAUUUUAAUUCUAAAGCUAUUAAUUCUAGGAUUAUAAUCCCGAGAUUAUAAUUAUAAUCCAAAGACUAUUAAGCCAUUUUAUAAUUCUUAGAUUAAUAGUUCAAGUCUAAGUUUAAAUACAAAUAAAAUAUAUACUUAGAUUAAUAAUUUUAUUUUAAGUAUAAUUCUUAUAAACAAACAUAAUAAUACCAAAUAGAGAGAAGUCAAAUCCUAAGUAUUUGCUUUUACAACGUAGUACCACUUGCAGCUUAUGAAAGAACCACAGUCAUAAUAAGGAACAUCCACUUGCUUAUGAAGGACCAAAUAGAGAGAAGUCAAAUCCUAAGUAUUUGCUUUUACAACGUAGUACCACUUGCAUCUUAUGAAGGAACCACAAUCAUAAUAAGGAACAUCCACAUCUUCAAAUAAUUUCAAUAAGCAUGAGUGCCCGUCAAACACUGUUUUUUAAUAAGCCUUGCUAACAAACGGAUCGACAGGGAAGACAUUAUUAAUCUCCCUCUCUCUCUCUCUCUCUCUGUCUGUAGGUAUGUGCUUGGUCUACGUGUCUUUAUCAUAUUUAUAUUAUUUUUUUAAAAAAAAUUAAUAAUUAAUAAAUUGCAUUUAUAAUUAACUUUUUAUAGACAAAAAAUAGAUAAUGUGUCUGAACUUUUUUUUAUAUAAAAAAAAGUGUUAAUCUAUUACAAUAAUUUAUUCUAUCUUAAUCUAUUAUUCCAUGUUUCAAGAUAAAAGUUUUUAUUACUAUUUUAGUUAGUCCCAAGUUAAAUGUUUACUUACCUUAAAUGAUCUAUUUUUAUAAUAAUUUAUCUAUAAUACCCUAAUUAUUAUUAGUAAUUGUGGUAGAAGGAUCAAAACAACGCUCUCAAAAAGAAUGGAAAAAGAAUGAGAGAUCUAAUCUGAAAUUAAGAAAAAAUAAAAUAUUAAAAAUACAUGUGAAAAUAAAAUGAUACUGUAUCAUUUGAAACUACUAAUAUUAAUUACCAUAAAAAUGAAUUAUUCCCAUUUGUUUGCAUCAACAAGUAAAAUCCAUCAAACCAAAGCAAAUACUAACCAUUAAUUAAGCAACUAAUUCAAUCAAACUAAAGCAUAUAUAUAAAUCCCAAUUCAAUAAUAUCCUAACUAAACCAUCAUACCCAUACUUAAUUCAUCUAUCUACGAUUCAUAAUCCCAGUUCAAUAAUAAGGCUGCGGAUAACGAGCCUUACUACUGUUUGACUUCUCUGAUUGAAUAUAUAUACAAAUAUAUACAGAGGGUUGAAGGAGACAGAUCUAAAUAAAUAAACAUAUAUUUUUUUUUUCUAUAUAAAUGAUUUUUGACUGAAAAAAUCAAAAGAAGUGAUCAAACCUUAAAAAUAUAUAAUUUAAAAUUAACAAAAACACAAAAUAUAUAAUUUAUUCAAAGGAAUUAAAUAAAUCUAUGAAAAACAAAAAAUCAUUUAAAAAAAACGCCUUUUAUUCCAAACGUAUAUAUAUAUAUAUAUAAAUAUAUAUAUAAACUAGUAUAAAAUAUGAUUUUAAUAGUUUAUACACUUCUAAUUAAAGAGAAAAUCACAAUAAUGAAGAGAAUAGAAUACCUUAGAUUUAUGGCUUCUCUAGGCUGAUGCUUCCUCAAUAUUCAAU